rnacentral:tRNA from 1 species
AGGAUUAUAGUUAAUAAUAACAAUUAAUUUGCAAUUAAUAAGUACUGAUUUCAGUUAAUCUUA